AGAGUUUGAUCAUGGCUCAGAUUGAACGCUGGCGGCAUGCCUUACACAUGCAAGUCGAACGGCAGCAUGAUCUAGCUUGCUAGAUUGAUGGCGAGUGGCGAACGGGUGAGUAAUACAUCGGAACGUGCCCUGUAGUGGGGGAUAACUAGUCGAAAGAUUAGCUAAUACCGCAUACGACCUGAGGGUGAAAGUGGGGGACCGCAAGGCCUCAUGCUAUAGGAGCGGCCGAUGUCUGAUUAGCUAGUUGGUGAGGUAAAGGCUCACCAAGGCGACGAUCAGUAGCUGGUCUGAGAGGACGAUCAGCCACACUGGGACUGAGACACGGUCCAGACUCCUACGGGAGGCAGCAGUGGGGAAUUUUGGACAAUGGGGGCAACCCUGAUCCAGCAAUGCCGCGUGUGUGAAGAAGGCCUUCGGGUUGUAAAGCACUUUUGUCCGGAAAGAAAUCGCACUUACUAAUAUUAGGUGUGGAUGACGGUACCGGAAGAAUAAGGACCGGCUAACUACGUGCCAGCAGCCGCGGUAAUACGUAGGGUCCAAGCGUUAAUCGGAAUUACUGGGCGUAAAGCGUGCGCAGGCGGUUGUGCAAGACCGAUGUGAAAUCCCCGGGCUUAACCUGGGAAUUGCAUUGGUGACUGCACGGCUAGAGUGUGUCAGAGGGGGGUAGAAUUCCACGUGUAGCAGUGAAAUGCGUAGAGAUGUGGAGGAAUACCGAUGGCGAAGGCAGCCCCCUGGGAUAACACUGACGCUCAUGCACGAAAGCGUGGGGAGCAAACAGGAUUAGAUACCCUGGUAGUCCACGCCCUAAACGAUGUCAACUAGUUGUUGGGGAUUCAUUUCCUUAGUAACGUAGCUAACGCGUGAAGUUGACCGCCUGGGGAGUACGGUCGCAAGAUUAAAACUCAAAGGAAUUGACGGGGACCCGCACAAGCGGUGGAUGAUGUGGAUUAAUUCGAUGCAACGCGAAAAACCUUACCUACCCUUGACAUGCCACUAACGAAGCAGAGAUGCAUUAGGUGCUCGAAAGAGGAAGUGGACACAGGUGCUGCAUGGCUGUCGUCAGCUCGUGUCGUGAGAUGUUGGGUUAAGUCCCGCAACGAGCGCAACCCUUGUCUCUAGUUGCUACGAAAGGGCACUCUAGAGAGACUGCCGGUGACAAACCGGAGGAAGGUGGGGAUGACGUCAAGUCCUCAUGGCCCUUAUGGGUAGGGCUUCACACGUCAUACAAUGGUGCAUACAGAGGGUUGCCAAGCCGCGAGGUGGAGCUAAUCCCAGAAAAUGCAUCGUAGUCCGGAUCGUAGUCUGCAACUCGACUACGUGAAGCUGGAAUCGCUAGUAAUCGCGGAUCAGCAUGCCGCGGUGAAUACGUUCCCGGGUCUUGUAGA
rnacentral:rRNA from 1 species